UACGGGGGGGGCAAGCGUUGUUCGGAAUUACUGGGCGUAAAGGGCUCGUAGGCGGCCAACUAAGUCCGACGUGAAAUCCCCAGGCUUAACCUGGGAACUGCGUCGGAUACUGGGUGGCUUGAAUCCGGGAGAGGGAUGUGGAAUUCCAGGUGUAGCGGUGAAAUGCGUAGAUAUCUGGAGGAACACCGGUGGCGAAGGCGGCAUCCUGGACCGGUAUUGACGCUGAGGCGCGAAAGCCAGGGGAGCAAACGGG
rnacentral:rRNA from 1 species